UGUGCACUUUUUGUAGACCUGAAAAGGUCUAUGUUGCUUCAUUUUACCCCAAUGUAUGUUAAUAGAAUGUUGUACCUAUAUAAUAUAUACAACUUUCAGCAACGGAUCUCUUGGCUCUCGCAUCGAUGAAGAACGCAGCGAAAUGCGAUAAGUAAUGUGAAUUGCAGAAUUCAGUGAAUCAUCGAAUCUUUGAACGCACCUUGCGCUCCUUGGUAUUCCGAGGAGCAUGCCUGUUUGAGUGUCAUUAAUAUAUAUCAACCUUCUCUCUUGUAGUGAGUGGUUUGGAUGUGGGGGUUUGCUGGCCUCUUUUAAAAAAGGGUUCAGCUCUCCUGAAAUGCAUUAGCAGAACAACCUGUUCAUUGGUGUGAUAACUAUCUGCGCCAUUGAAUGUGAGGGGCAGUUCAGCUUUCUAACAGUCCUUGGACAAUUCAUCAUUAAUGUGACCUCAAAUCACGUAGGACUACCCGCUGAACUUAAGCAUAUCAU
rnacentral:rRNA from 1 species